UACGGAGGGGGCUAGCGUUGUUCGGAAUUACUGGGCGUAAAGCGCGCGUAGGCGGAUCUGCAAGUCGGGGGUGAAAUCCCGAGGCUCAACCUCGGAACUGCCUUCGAUACUGCGGGUCUCGAGUCCGGGAGAGGUGAGUGGAACUCCGAGUGUAGAGGUGAAAUUCGUAGAUAUUCGGAAGAACACCAGUGGCGAAGGCGGCUCACUGGCCCGGUACUGACGCUGAGGUGCGAAAGCGUGGGGAGCAAACAGG
rnacentral:rRNA from 1 species